CACGUCAGCUCCCUGCAGGCACACUCCGCAGAAAGCCAAGUUCAAAUCAAAAUGGUGCUUGGGCUUGCUUCUCCCAGGCAGGCUGCCUGAUGGUUCCUGGAUAUGCCGUGUGUGUCCACACCUCUGGGCCUCUGCUCAGGUGUAGAGAUGGCAUACAGGAACUGAAUGGAUGAGCAGGUCACUGAGCAGACACGCUGGGGAAAGCACCACGUGGAGGGAAUCAAGAGAGCUGGAUUCUCAUUCCAGUCUUCUGGCUCCUCAGGGUUUAGAGCAAGGGAUUCGGAAAUGCUCUGGAGACAGUCAAGAAGGAAGCACAGAAAAGGAAGAGUCAGAGGAAGCCUCUGGAACACGUGAGGAUUUGCCUUCUCCCAUCAGAACAUGCUCUUAAACAAACAGCAAGCUUCCUCCAUUAAUAAGUCCUGUGGAAUGCACAUGAGAUUUUUUUUUCCUCCUCCUUUUUGCUGAUUAAGUUCCCCCAAAACCCCCUUAAGAAUUUUAAUAAGAAAUGCAAAAAUCAACAAAAG
rnacentral:lncRNA from 1 species